AGGUUUUGUUCCUUAGUGAUAGCCAAUAGAAGUUAAAGCACUUCUAUUACCAGUGACCACAACCAUUCCCUGUCAUUCUCCGUUUCAUUUAUCUGGUUCCGACCAUCAUUUUCUAUCUUUCCACUUCACUCCCUCUGGGACACCAACUUUGGCAGUGCAGUCCCCUCAUUCUACCUGGAAUCCAUUGUUCUACAAAAUCUUCACUGUCCCACACUUCUUUGGUGUUUCUUUCUUAUCCUGAAUACCAUUAAAUUACUUCAUUGCCUAACUCUUCAUCGGUAAAAACUACAACUUCGACUACAUUCAAAUCUGUAGCUG
rnacentral:lncRNA from 10 species